rnacentral:rRNA from 1 species
UCUUCCGCAAUGGACGAAAGUCUGACGGAGCAACGCCGCGUGAGUGAUGAAGGUUUUCGGAUCGUAAAGCUCUGUUGUUAGGGAAGAACAAGUGCAAGAGUAACUGCUUGCACCUUGACGGUACCUAACCAGAAAGCCACGGCUAACUACGUGCCAGCAGCCGCGGUAAUACGUAGGUGGCAAGCGUUGUCCGGAAUUAUUGGGCGUAAAGGGCUCGCAGGCGGUUUCUUAAGUCUGAUGUGAAAGCCCCCGGCUCAACCGGGGAGGGUCAUUGGAAACUGGGAAACUUGAGUGCAGAAGAGGAGAGUGGAAUUCCACGUGUAGCGGUGAAAUGCGUAGAGAUGUGGAGGAACACCAGUGGCGAAGGCGACUCUCUGGUCUGUAACUGACGCUGAGGAGCGAAAGCGUGGGGAGCGAACAGG